GACGAACGCUGGCGGCGUGCUUAACACAUGCAAGUCGAACGGUAAGGCCCUUCGGGGUACACGAGUGGCGAACGGGUGAGUAACACGUGGUGAUCUGCCCUGCACUUCGGGAUAAACCUGGGAAACUGGGUCUAAUACCGGGUAGGACCAUGGACUUCACGGUUUUGUGGUGGAAAGCUUUUGCGGUGUGGGAUGGGCCCGCGGCCUAUCAGCUUGUUGGUGGGGUAAUGGCCUACAAGGCGACGACGGGUAGCCGGCCUGAGAGGGUGUCCGGCCACACUGGGACUGAGAUACGGCCCAGACUCCUACGGGAGGCAGCAGUGGGGAAUAUUGCACAAUGGGCGCAAGCCUGAUGCAGCGACGCCGCGUGAGGGAUGACGGCCUUCGGGUUGUAACCGUCUUUCAAUAGGGACGAAGCGCAAGUGACGGUACCUAUAGAAGAAGCACCGGCCAACUACGUGCCAGCAGCCGCGGUAAU
rnacentral:rRNA from 1 species